rnacentral:rRNA from 1 species
UGGGCCGUAAACGGCGUCGGCAGGACGUCUUCUUUAAGUCUUGAAUUGGAAAAGGCCCCCCGCCUCCAAACCGGGGUAGGGUUCAUUUGCAAAUUUGGGAAAACUUGAGUGCAGGAGGAGGAGAGGUGGAAUUCCCACGCGUAGCCGAUGAAAAUGCGGUAGAGAUCUGGACGAACCACCAGUGGCGAAGGGCGACUCUUUGGUCUCUAACUGACGGUGAGGAGUGAAAGCGUGGGGAGCGAACACGAUUAGAUAUCCUGGUAGUCCACGCCGUAAACGAUGAGUGCUAAGUGUUAGGGGGUUUCCGCCCCUUAGUGCUGCAGCUAACGCAUUAAGCACUUCGCCUGGGGAGUACGGUUGCAAGACUGAAAAUCAAAGGAAUUGACGGGGGCCCGCACAAGCGGUGGAGCAUGUGGUUUAAUUUGAAGCAACGCGAAGAACCUUACCAGGUCUUGACAUCCUUUGACAACCCUAGAGAUAGGGCUUUCCCUUCGGGGACAGAGUGACAGGUGGUGCAUGGUUGUCGUCAGCUCGUGUCGUGAGAUGUUGGGUUAAGUUCCGCAACGAGCGCAACCCUUGAUUUUAGUUGCCAGCAUUUAGUUGGGCACUCUAAGGUGACUGCCGGUGACAAACCGGAGGAAGGUGGGGAUGACGUCAAAUCAUCAUGCCCCUUAUGACCUGGGCUACACACGUGCUACAAUGGACAGAACAAAGGGCUGCGAGACCGCAAGGUUUAGCCAAUCCCAUAAAUCUGUUCUCAGUUCGGAUCGCAGUCUGCAACUCGACUGCGUGAAGCUGGAAUCGCUAGUAAUCGCGGAUCAGCAUGCCGCGGUGAAUACGUUCCCGGGCCUUGUACACACCGCCCGUCACACCACGAGAGUUUGUAACACCCGAAGUCGGUGAGGUAACCUUUAUGGAGCCAGCCGCCGAAGGUGGGACAGAUGAUUGGGGUGAAGUCGUAACAAGGAGCCUUGAGGCC